rnacentral:rRNA from 1 species
UACGGAGGAUGCAAGCGUUAUCCGGAAUGAUUGGGCGUAAAGCGUCCGCAGGUGGCUGUGUAAGUCUGCUGUCAAAGAGCAAAGCUCAACUUUGUAAAGGCAGUGGAAACUACACGGCUAGAGUGCGUUCGGGGCAGAGGGAAUUCCUGGUGUAGCGGUGAAAUGCGUAGAGAUCAGGAAGAACACCGGUGGCGAAGGCGCUCUGCUAGGCCGCAACUGACACUGAGGGACGAAAGCUAAGGGAGCGAACAGG